rnacentral:rRNA from 1 species
UUCCGGUUGAUCCUGCCGGACCCUACUGCUAUCGGGGUGGGACUAAGACAUGCGUGUCGCCCAAGCAAGUCGUGGCAUACGGCUCAGUAACACGUGGCUAACCUACCCUUGAGACGGAGACAACCCCGGGAAACUGGGGCUAAUCCCAGAUAGAUGAGAACUCCUGGAACGGGUUCUCGUCCAAAUGCUCCGUCGCUCAAGGAUGGGGCCGCGGCCGAUCAGGCUGUUGGUGAGGCAACGGCUCACCAAACCUUUAACCGGUACGGGCCGUGAGAGCGGUAGCCCGGAGAUGGGCACUGAGACAAGGGCCCAGGCCCUACGGGGCGCAGCAGUCGCGAAAACUCCGCAAUGCACGAAAGUGUGACGGGGCUACCCCGAGUGCCGUCCGCUGAGGAUGGCUUUUCCUCGGUGUAACUAGCCGGGGGAAUAAGGGGAGGGCAAGAUUGGUGUCAGCCGCCGCGGUAAAACCAACUCCCCGAGUGGUCGGGAUGAUUAUUGGGCUUAAAGCGUCCGUAGCCGGUUCGGCAAGUUCUCCGUUAAAUCUGACGUCCGAAGCGUCAGGCCGCGGAGAAUACUGCCGGGCUUGGGAGUGGGAGAGGCCGACGGUAUUCCCUGGGGAGGGGUAAAAUCCUUAGAGCCAGGGAGGACCAUCAGUGGCGAAGGCGGUCGGCUAGAACGCGCCCGACGGUGAGGGAUGAAAGCUGGGGGAGCGAACCGGAUUAGAUACCCGGGUAGUCCCAGCUGUAAACGAUGCAGGCUAGGUGUUUGGGCGGCCACGAGCCGCUCUAGUGCCGCAGGGAAGUCGUUAAGCCUGCCGCCCGGGGAGUACGGCCGCAAGGCUGAAACUUAAAGGAAUUGGCGGGGGAGCACCACAAGGGGUGAAGCUUGCGGUUUAAUUGGAGUCAACGCCGGA